UUGUAGCCUGCUAUGGUAUAACUUAGUGGCAGACGGGUGAGUAAUGUAUAGGAAUCUACCUAGUAGUACGGAAUAAUUGUUGGAAACGGCAACUAAUACCGUAUACGCCCUACGGGGGAAAAAUUUAUUGCUAUUAGAUGAGCCUAUAUUAGAUUAGCUAGUUGGUGGAGUAAUAGCCUACCAAGGCAAUGAUCUAUAGCUGAUCUGAGAGGAUGAUCAGCCACACUGGAACUGAGAUACGGUCCAGACUCCUACGGGAGGCAGCAGUGGGGAAUAUUGGACAAUGGGCGAAAGCCUGAUCCAGCCAUGCCGCAUGAGUGAAGAAGGCCUUUGGGUUGUAAAGCUCUUUUAGUGAGGAAGAUAAUGACGGUACUCACAGAAGAAGUCCUGGCUAACUCCGUGCCAGCAGCCGCGGUAAUACGGAGAGGGCUAGCGUUAUUCGGAAUUAUUGGGCGUAAAGGGCGCGUAGGCUGAUUAAUAAGUUAAAAGUGAAAUCCCGAGGCUUAACCUUGGAAUUGCUUUUAAAACUAUUAAUCUAGAGAUUGAAAGAGGAUAGAGGAAUUCCUGAUGUAGAGGUAAAAUUCGUAAAUAUUAGGAGGAACACCAGUGGCGAAGGCGUCUAUCUGGUUCAAAUCUGACGCUGAGGCGCGAAGGCGUGGGGAGCAAACAGGAUUAGAUACCCUGGUAGUCCACGCUGUAAACGAUGAAUGUUAAAUAUAAGAAGUUUACUUUCUGUAUUACAGCUAACGCGUUAAACAUUCCGCCUGGGGACUACGGUCGCAAGAUUAAAACUCAAAGGAAUUGACGGGGACCCGCACAAGCGGUGGAGCAUGUGGUUUAAUUCGAUGCAACGCGAAAAACCUUACCACUUCUUGACAUGAAAAUCAUACCUAUUC
rnacentral:rRNA from 1 species